UACGUCCCCUCAUUCGGGUAGCGCCAGCUGUAAAUGCUUCAUGAUCUCAUUGAUUAGUUUGGAACAAAUAGCUUUUUAGAGUAUUAAAUGUUUUUGAAUAUCGUUUAAUUACGUCGACUUAGGUAAUUGAAAAAAAUCUUUUCGAAAAUUCGUAUUAAUUUCUUAUUAUGAGGAAUACAAGCAGAACCCAUUGUUACUCAAAAUAUAUUUUUUAAAACGGUUAUCAAUUAUUAAGUUAAAUAUUAGUAAGCAUUUGUUGACGAUGGACCAUUGUAAAGAUUUUAUUAAAGCCGAAUUCCCUUCAAUUGAUAUAGAAAUGUUUCAAUACAUUGAAGGUGUUUUAGAAAAUGGAAUUGAAGACUUCCAUGAUUCUGAAGAUAUAUAUGAAGCAAUUGGUGAAGUAUUGCAGGAAAUUGCAAAUAAGUCUGAAUCGGACAUCAGAGGGAUCUGUUCAAAAUUAUUGCAUUUUAUGCGUCCUCAUUCUAAUGACAAUGUAUCAAGAAAUGGUCUAACUAAAAUUUUAGAUGCUCCAGUGCAUUUAGCAUCAAUGGCAGCAGAUCUAGAAGAUAAUGAUAUGGAAAUUAAAAGUAUCUGGGUGAAUUCGAGAGAUGAUAGUUUAAAAGUAGAUAAAAAAAAACUAGACAAAGCUCAAGCAAAAUUGCAACAAAAACAGGAUAAACGGACUGAGCAAGUUCUUAAAGGUGUAGGAACUAUGAGUGUAUCAAAUAAUAAAAUGGAUGGUGCAACUGCUUCUCAAGUAACAAGUAAAAAGGAAGCUAAAAUGGAAGCUAAAGGAAAUAAUCGAGCUCAGGAUAUAAGGAUAGAAAAUUUCGAUGUUGCAUAUGGAGAGAGAAUAUUACUCCAGAAUACUGAUGUAACUUUAGCUUAUGGUAGAAGAUAUGGUUUAGUUGGAAGAAAUGGACUUGGUAAAACUACAUUGUUAAGAAUGAUAUCGGGAGGUCAGUUACGAAUUCCAUCUCACAUAUCUAUACUACAUGUUGAACAAGAAGUAGUUGGUGAUGAUACACCUGCUUUAGAAUCUGUAUUACAGUGUGAUUUUGUUCGACAUGGUCUGUUAACUAGAGAAAAAGAAGUUAACACAUUGAUUGCUAAUGGUUCGCCAUAUAGUGCUGAAUUAUCAUCUGAAUUAAGUGAAAUAUAUAUGCAAUUGAGUGCCAUAGAAGCUGAUAAGGCUCCUGCUCGAGCCAGUGUCAUUCUUGAUGGUUUGGGUUUCAAUCCAGAUAUGCAAAAAAAAGCCACUAAACAUUUUUCAGGUGGAUGGCGUAUGCGUUUAGCCUUAGCUAGAGCACUUUUUUCUAAACCAGAUUUGUUACUACUUGAUGAACCUACUAACAUGUUGGAUAUGAAAGCAAUUAUAUGGUUAGAAAACUAUUUGCAAACUUGGCAAAGUACAUUGCUUGUAGUAUCUCAUGACCGUCAUUUCUUAGAUUCUGUACCUACUGACAUAUUACAUCUUCAUACUCAGCGAAUUGAUACUUAUAGAGGUAAUUAUGAAAUUUUUGAAAAAACUAAAAAUGAGAAGCUUAAAAAUCAACAACGAGAAAUUGAAGCACAAAUGGCUCAUAGAGCUCACGUACAAGAGUUUAUUGAUAGAUUUAGGUAUAAUGCUAAUCGUGCUUCUAGUGUUCAGAGUAAAAUUAAAAUGCUUGAAAAACUACCAGAAUUAAAACCUAUCGAGAAAGAAGUAGAAGUUGUUUUACGUUUUCCUGAAACAGAAGGAUUGUCACCUCCUAUUUUACAACUUAAUGACAUUUCAUUUGCAUAUCCUGGUUGUGCUAAUGUUUUACAAAAUGUUAAUCUUGGAGCAACGUUAGAAUCUAGAAUAUGUAUUGUAGGUGAUAAUGGAGCUGGUAAGACAACACUAUUGAAAAUUAUUAUGGGUAUAUUAAAUCCUACUUUUGGGGUCAGAAAUGUGCAUAGAAAUUUGAAAUUUGGAUAUUUCAGUCAGCAUCAUGUAGACCAAUUAGAAAUGAACCUUUCUUCUGUAGAGCUAUUACAAUCAUCUUUCCCUGGCAAAACUGUAGAAGAAUAUAGACGUCAAUUAGGAGGAUUUGGUAUAUCAGGUGAUUUAGCAUUACAGAGUGUUGGUAGCCUAUCUGGAGGUCAGAAAUCAAGAGUAGCAUUUGCUAGAAUGUGCAUGUCAAAUCCAAAUUUCUUAGUACUUGAUGAACCUACCAAUCAUUUGGAUAUUGAAACAAUCGAAGCUUUAGGGAAAGCAUUACAAAAAUACACCGGUGGUUUAAUACUUGUCUCUCACGACGAACGUUUAAUUCGUAUGGUUUGUAAAGAGCUAUGGGUUUGUGGUGGUGGAAAUGUUAAAAGCAUUGAAGGCGGCUUCAACGAAUAUAGAACCAUUGUGGAACGGGAACUUGCGGAAGCUGCUAAGUAGACAAAUUUUUGUAUCUACAAUAUUAUUAUUUAUUUAUAUACAUUUUUCACUUGUUUUUUUUUUAAUGCCAUUUAAGAGAAAUUUAAUGAAAAGUGAAAACAUAAACUUUGUUAUAAAUAUCGUUUGUAACGGUUUAAAUAACAUAAAAGUAACCUUAACUUUGUAAACUUAACUAUGUUAAACAUAUAAGAUUGAAGAAACUCACAUCUUAGUGAUCAUCAGAGUUAAAAUUAAGAAGCCAGGAACAAUGUAUUGUUUUUAUUUCAAAAACUGUUUGGUUGAAAAUAAAUUAUUGUGCCAAUA
rnacentral:misc_RNA from 1 species